AAAGGUUGACCUCGGAUCAGGUAGGAAUAC
rnacentral:rRNA from 2 species